GUCAGAAUGGCCGAGUGGUCUAAGGCGCCAGACUCAAGUUCUGGUCUCCUGAUGGAGGCGUGGGUUCAAAUCCCACUUCUGACA
rnacentral:tRNA from 1 species